ACCACUUCCGAAGCCAGCCAUGUGAGUUCUGGGGGAUUCUGCCUCCGCCCCGGGCGGCCCAGUCCCGCCCUCCGGGGGCUCGGGCCACUCCCGCCCUUUUUCAAGAAGGAAUCUCCUCCUGGGAAGAAGCAGAUCUCCCCGCUGCAAGACGAGCCCAGUGGGGAGAUCUCUGGGAGAGAGUCUCCAAGAACUGGCCCCUUCCAGGGGGAGAAGUACCACGUGGACCAGUGUCUCCUGACCAUCUGUCAGAUGAGGUAGACAAGAGGAUGAGGACUGCAAGAAGCUGUGGGAGAAUCCACUCCAGGAAUGGAAGAAAACACGAGGGAUGUCGUGACCAAGAGGAACUAAUUCAUUUUAAAGGUCUUUUGGGGCCUGAGUUCUCCGCUUGAUGUUGGGCAUGCAAGGACAAACCCAGAACAAAGAGGAGUUUCCAUUGUACUGAGAGGAAACACUUGGCUGGAACUCACAUGAGAGAAUCAAAAGUCAUUUGUGUGGGAGCUGGAAAGGCGGAUGCGACUCUGAUCUGUAGAAAGCCAGAAAGAGGAUGCAAGGAGGGAGAACAUUUUGUGGAAGGGGCCAUCCCAGCCUGGGCAAAGUCACAGAGGGAGGAGAUGCAGCAUCCAACAGGCAGAAUAAUAGCAAGUGGGUCAAUUUCCCUAAAUUGGAAAGUGUAGGGAGGGAGUAAUGAAACAAGAAAGAAAACAAGCAUUUAUCUACUAUGUAUCAGGCCCUGGGCUAAGGGGUUUACAACUAUUGAUCCUCACAACAAAUCCUGGGAGUUAGGAGCUGUUAUUAUCCCCAUUUUACAAUGGAAGAGAUUGAGGCAGAUAGUUGUGAAAUGACUUACCCAAGCUCACCUAGUGGCUGAGUCUGGAUUUGCUCUAGAUCUUCUUGAUUCCUGCUCAGUACACUAUGGUGUCCCCCUAGCUGCCCAGCAUGGAUUCUAGCUUAGAAACCCUAGCCUUAGAACGAAUAGGGACCCAUCUCCUCAUUUUAUUUGUGAGAAAAGUGAGAGUCAGUCCAAGGUCACACAAUUAGGUACCAGAGCCGGAAUCAGAACGCAGUGGAGGAAUUCAUGAAGAGCCAGAUGACCAUCAUGGAACACGUAUAGGAAAAUCCUGUUCCCAUUCUAGGUGGACUGGAAGGACUCAACUUGGAAAACAGUCAGAUCUGGCUCUGGAUCUACCUCUGGAAAGGGCUGGGGCAAUGGGCUCUGGGACAGCCUGAGUUCGGGGUUGCCAGAGUUCGGAUCAUUCUCAUUCUGACUUACUUCCUCCUCCACCAGGGACAACUUAGAGAAGGAACUUAACCUUUCUUGUUGACUUUUCAGUAGAGUACCAACUCCCUAAUGACUUGUCUUGGCUCCUAAGAAGAGAUAAGACUUAUAGAGCUCUCAACUUCACCCCCCUUCUCCACCCCGUUAAUGGUAUUUCGCUUCGUUUCUCCAAUUACACGGAAAGAUAAUUUUCAAUAUUUACUUUUCGAAGGUUUUGAUUUCUACCCUUUUUUCCUCCCUCCUUCCCACUCAGCUCUCCAAGACGGCAAGUUAUAGGUUAUGUGAUAUAGGUGAUAGAUGUACAACCAUAUUAAACAUUUCCACAAUAGUUAUGUUGUAAAAGAAGAAUCAAAACAAAAGGGGAAAAAAACAUGAAUCAAUUUCUGUUGGAAGUAAGUAAGAGUAAGAAGGUGGCAAGGUGGCAACUAGGGUGGGGCACAGAGGUAGAAUGAGAGGGGCAGGGAGUGCUGGAAGAACUGGGGGAGAGGUAGGGCGAUGACCCAGGAAUCUAUCGCAGGCAGCUCAUAAUAGCUGGACUAAGGAGUGGAUUGUUAUAUUUUCACUCAGAAAUCAGCAAGGGCUUGGUUACUGUUUGGUUGAUUGUCUAGACUUGAAAAAGUGAUAAGGUGUUAUUACCCAUAUUAAACUUUGCACUGUGUAGAACAAAUCAAAGGAUAUGAAGAAACAAGUUCUCAAAUGAAUUGUAAAAUUGUCGUAGCCACGUGAAAUUAUGCUCUGGAUCACUAAUAAAAAGAGAACUGAAAACCAAAGAAAUCCUGUUGUUUUACACCAAGCCCUGCAGAUCAACAGAGAUGACACAAAAUGGUGACAAUAUUAGAGAAGUUGUGGAAUCUUAGGCACACUGAUACAUUGUUGGUGGAGCUAUGAAACGACACCAUUUUUGGGAAAGCAAUUUGGAAUUUUGAACUUUGAACUUGAGUCUUUGAACUAAAGACUUCAUUACUGGAUUUAUACCCCAAGAAAGCCGUGGGUAAAAAGACAGUUUCCAGAUAUACCAACUUAUUUCUGGCUGUACUUUUUCUGAUAGUAAAGAAAUGGAAAUAAAGUAGAUUCUCGUCGAUCAGGAAAAGGCUAAACAAUUGCGGUACAUGAAUGUAAUAGAACAUUCUUGGCCUAGAAGCAGUGGUGUGCAUAUGGAGGAGCAUGGAAAGAUCAACAUGAACUGAUGCAUGAAGUCAGCAGAGCCAAAAGAACAAUAUAAACAAUGACUACAACAAUGUGAGUGGCAUAUAUUGUUGGUGGUGGAGCUGUGAACGAAUCCAACCAUUCUGGAGAGCAAUCUGGAAUUAUGCCCCAAAAGUUAUCAA